rnacentral:rRNA from 1 species
AACGAACGCUGGCGGCAUGCCUAACACAUGCAAGUCGAACGAGACCUUCGGGUCUAGUGGCGCACGGGUGCGUAACGCGUGGGAACCUGCCCUUAGGUUCGGAAUAACUCCCCGAAAGGGGUGCUAAUACCGGAUAAUGUCUUCGGACCAAAGAUUUAUCGCCUUUGGAUGGGCCCGCGUUGGCUUAGCUAGUUGGUAGGGUAAAAGCCUACCAAGGCGACGAUCCAUAGCUGGUCUGAGAGGAUGAUCAGCCACACUGGGACUGAGACACGGCCCAGACUCCUACGGGAGGCAGCAGUGGGGAAUAUUGGACAAUGGGCGAAAGCCUGAUCCAGCAAUGCCGCGUGAGUGAUGAAGGCCGUAGGGUUGUAAAGCUCUUUUACCCGGGAUGAUAAUGACAGUACCGGGAGAAUAAGCUCCGGCUAACUCCGUG